rnacentral:rRNA from 1 species
AUUGAACGCUGGCGGCAUGCUUUACACAUGCAAGUCGAACGGCAGCGCGGGGCAACCUGGCGGCGAGUGGCGAACGGGUGAGUAAUACAUCGGAACGUACCCAGAAGUGGGGGAUAACGUAGCGAAAGUUACGCUAAUACCGCAUACGUUCUACGGAAGAAAGUGGGGGACCUUCGGGCCUCAUGCUUUUGGAGCGGCCGAUGUCUGACUAGCUAGUUGGUAGGGUAAAGGCCUACCAAGGCGACGAUCAGUAGAUGGUCUGAGAGGACGACCGGCCAGCCGGGGACUGAGACACGGCCCAGACUCCUACGGGAGGCAGCAGUGGGGAAUUUUGGACAAUGGGCGCAAGCCUGAUCCAGCAAUGCCGCGUGAGUGAAGAAGGCCUUCGGGUUGUAAAGCUCUUUUGUCAGGGAAGAAACGGCUGAGGUUAAUCCCUUUGGCUAAUGACGGUACCUGAAGAAUAAGCACCGGCUAACUACGUGCCAGCCGCCGCGGUAACAC